rnacentral:rRNA from 1 species
GACGAACGCUGGCGGCGUGCUUAACACAUGCAAGUGGUGCGACGAACCAGGCUUCGGCCUGGGGCGAAGCCGCGAACGGGUGAGUAACACGUGGGCAAUCUGCCCCUUUGAUCGGGACAACCCGGGGAAACCUGGGCUAAUACCGAAUGAGGUGGCGACUCAUGAGAGUCGUCACGAAAGGAAGCUACGGCCUCCGCGAAGGGAUGAGCCCGCGGCCCAUUAGCUUGUUGGUGGGGUAAUGGCCUACCAAGGCAACGAUGGGUAGCUGGUCUGAGAGGACGAUCAGCCACACUGGGACUGAGACACGGCCCAGACUCCUACGGGAGGCUGCAGUGGGGAAUCUUGCGCAAUGAGCGACAGCUUGACGCAGCAACGCCGCGUGAGGGAAGAAGGCUUUCGGGUCGUAAACCUCCUUCAGUUAGGACGAAGCUUUAUUGGUUAAUAACCAGUUGGAGUGACGGUACUUUCAGAAGAAGCCCCGGCUAACUACGUGCCAGCAGCCGCCGUAA